rnacentral:lncRNA from 1 species
GCUUCUCCCCGCAGACCCGUGAUCAUCAACGCCGCCACAAACCAGAUCGGCCUCCAGCAGCGCCGCCACAAACCAGAUCGGCCUCCAGCAGCGCCGUCCGCACCCGAAGCAGAGGAGAAGAAGAACACAGCAGACCCAUUUGUAGAUCCGAAACGGAGAAGAAGACUUGAGAACAGAUCCGGGAAGGAGCAAGAAAAAUUAAAAUCUACUGUUGUUGCGUUUUCUGGACUUUGCAGGUGGCUUUACUUCACACCGCCGGCGACGACAGGAUGAUGGGAAGAAGUCGACCUGGACCCCCUUGCUGUUGGUUGUCUUCUGUGGCGGCGCGUGAACCCACGCGCCGCCAGUGGCGGGGGCGCGUGGGGCAGACGCGCCGCCACUGUCUUGUCG